UGUAAAUGACCGUUUGAGUAACUAACCAAAUUACCGUAAUUGCAAUCAAUGACCUUUCCCCCUCCCGUAUGCUACAAGACUCCUUUAGUAAAUCAGGCCGUGGGAUGGACACUGGGUUCCUAGAAGGGCGCGCAGGAAGACGGCGGACGGGGAAGACGUUCUUCCUCACUGCCCUUUUCCUACUUAUCUUUGAGGACGAUGCGGAGAUUAAACUCUUUAACAUUUCGGGAAUGGCGCGGUCCAACCGCGUCAGUCUUUCGCCGUUAGAGGCCCGACUCGAGGCCGUGGUUCUGCCUCCGAGGUCACCACCUGCCUGGGCAGCCUGUGACCUCCAGCAUCCAUAUGCCCAGCCCUCCAGGGAGGGGCUGGACAGGGCCAGGUUGGGAGAGGUGAGUGAAACGACAAAGGCUUGGAGGGCACAAUCCCUUCUUCCAAACAAAACGAAACCAUAUUAGGCCAAAGAAAUAAACAAAAACACG
rnacentral:lncRNA from 1 species